AGGAAUUAUCUUUGUACAUGUGUACACCUAUGGCAUGGAGCUGAAGAAGGAACAAGGAAUUCUGCACCCUUCUACUAUUUGCUCUUCCUUCUCUGAUUCCUUCCAUAGCCUGUAAGGCACAGAGGCAGAAGAACAUGGUCUACCACAAGGUGUCUUUGUCUCACAGAUAAGCAUGUACAGGACUGCAGUGUGUGGGAAGCCGGAAUACAAAAUCUGCCCUUCUGAGUUAGGCAGCAUUGGGUUAAGCUGAGUAUUCUUCUGCCAGUCAUCUUUAAUGUGUGCUGCAUCUGGAAAAUGUGAGAAACCACAACAACAAACCCACCCAUGUGCAGUUCUUAAGAAGAGAGUUGAAGGUGAAACUCCUUCCUGAUCUCCAAGUGAGGAAUGAAAUUUAUCUUCAUUUCUUCUGUCUCAGCAAGUAUUGUGAUAUGAAACAAUCUACUUCAAAUUCUAUGCUUAACUAAGGUAUACUCUUCAUGCCCUAGUGUUUCUCCUCCUCCAACAGUUACUUGGUGUAAAGCUGAUUUUUUUUAUUUGCAUGAAUUCUAUAUUUAAAAAUAUGUAUCUCACAAAACCAAACAAGUGAACAAAGUGUUCAAACAGGUUUCUGAUUCAUGAGCCUUGCUGGAUUUGGAUGUGAUCCCUAAAGAUGGUACUGCCCACGGCUGUCCUGUGUACUUAUGAACUAGCAGUUGCCAAAUCCAUCUUAGAAGAGCAGAACAAGUAGUAUCUACCUGCUAGUUACAUUCCCUGGUCAGUAUAUUAACAAAACUCAGACUGUUUGCAUUAGUCCCUUGGCUUCCAGCGAAGGGAUGGACACAUUACAUUGUCCAUUCUACUAUUCCUGCUGUAGUUUCAGUGUCUUGCAACAGAGUGUAGAUGAGUGUGGUACUAUCUCCGCAUGGCUCCUACGUCAGCAACUUGAUGCCUGUGGUUCUUCCUUCCCCUUUCUCUCUUUUUGAAUUCCCACUUGAUAAUUUGUAGAGGUGUUUGUGAACCUUUAAGCUACUUCAGUGGCAGCACAUUAUAGCCUGAAGUUUUGCAUUCACACAAAUUACACAGAGAAAAUUCUGCGUGACCUCGUAGCAUUGCACUAUUAAAAGGUCUGUAACUCAACU
rnacentral:lncRNA from 7 species